rnacentral:rRNA from 1 species
GAUUCCCUUAGUAACGGCGAGUGAACCGGGAUGAGCUCAAAUUUAAAAUCUGGCGUCUUUCAGGCGUCCGAGUUGUAAUCUAUAGAGGCGUUUUCCGCGCCGGACCGCGUCCAAGUCUCUUGGAAUAGAGUAUCAAAGAGGGUGACAAUCCCGUACUUGACGCGACAACCGGUGCUCUGUGAUACGUUCUCAAUGAGUCGAGUUGUUUGGGAAUGCAGCUCUAAAUGGGUGGUAAAUUCCAUCUAAGGCUAAAUAUUGGCGAGAGACCGAUAGCGAACAAGUACCGUGAGGGAAAGAUGAAAAGCACUUUGGAAAGAGAGUUAAACAGCACGUGAAAUUGUUAAAAGGGAAACGAUUGAAGUCAGUCGUGUGAAAGGUAUUCAGCCGUCUCUGGCGGUGUAUUUGCCUUUCACGGGUCAACAUCAGUUUGAUCCGGUAGAAAAAGGCGGGAGGAAGGUGGCACCCUCGGGUGUGUUAUAGCCUCCUGUCAUAUGUGCCGGACCAGACUGAGGAACGCAGCUUGCCGCAAGGCCGGGGUUCGCCCACGUACAA